rnacentral:rRNA from 1 species
CGGGUGGUAAUGCCGGAUGCUCCGACUCCUCGCAUGGGGUGUCGGGAAAGAUUUCAUCGGUAUGGGAUGGGGUCGCGUCCUAUCAGGUAGUCGGCGGGGUAACGGCCCACCGAGCCUACGACGGGUAGCCGGCCUGAGAGGGCGACCGGCCACAUUGGGACUGAGAUACGGCCCAGACUCCUACGGGAGGCAGCAGUGGGGAAUAUUGCACAAUGGGCGCAAGCCUGAUGCAGCGACGCCGCGUGCGGGAUGACGGCCUUCGGGUUGUAAACCGCUUUUGAUCGGGAGCAAGCCUUCGGGUGAGUGUACCUUUCGAAUAAGCACCGGCUAACUACGUGCCAGCAGCCGCGGUAAUACGUAGGGUGCAAGCGUUAUCCGGAAUUAUUGGGCGUAAAGGGCUCGUAGGCGGUUCGUCGCGUCCGGUGUGAAAGUCCAUCGCUUAACGGUGGAUCUGCGCCGGGUACGGGCGGGCUGGAGUGCGGUAGGGGAGACUGGAAUUCCCGGUGUAACGGUGGAAUGUGUAGAUAUCGGAAA